UACGGGGGGAGCAAGCGUUGUUCGGAUUUACUGGGCGUAAAGGGCGCGUAGGCGGCCACUGCAAGUCAGUUGUGAAAUCUCCGGGCUUAACUCGGAAAGGUCAACUGAUACUGCAGGGCUAGAGUGCAGAAGGGGCAACUGGAAUUCUCGGUGUAGCGGUGAAAUGCGUAGAUAUCUGGAGGAACACCGGUGGCGAAGGCGGCAUCCUGGACCGACACUGACGCUGAGGAGCGAAAGCCAGGGGAGCAAACAGG
rnacentral:rRNA from 1 species